ensembl:lncRNA
CCCUGCAUGACCUGCUCUUUGGUGCCGUGGUGGUAAAUUUAUGUUGAGCACCUUUAAACAAAGCAAGAACGAGAGAAGAAGAGAGGGAGGGAGAGAGAAGACUUGGCGGAACACAAUGAGCGAAAAGAAGUUUGUCAGAGUUCAUUAAGUAUCAGGGGAAGAUCUGCGGGGCUGGCAAGGCGAGGCGCGCCGUGGGCCGGGCGCCAUUAAUCACGUCUGACAGCGAAGCGGGCACGCCGAGACGCUGCUCGUGAUUACAGAGAAGGGUCCUGAGCGAAUUGGUCGGUUUGCCGAACAGAAACCCGAGACGAGGAGGCAAGAAAGCGGAACCAAAGAGCUCUCGACCUGCAUUACUCUCAUUGGCCCCCGUUUUUCAUGGCGAGACCCCUUUCCUGUUUCGAAACAAUCACGGCCACGUGGGAGCGAAUGAGCCGAGUCACUGUGUCUUUACCCUGUCUGUAUAAAACAUCUACAGUGAUAUGCUAGCGAGAUAAGUCGCUAAUCAGAUGAACAGAUACGGCGCAGGGUCACGGAAGGAGACGGAAGGACAAUCGGAUGAAUGGAGGAGGGUGUGGGGUUUUUUUUUGAGUUAAAGGAAAUAUGGCACGGCGUUGACAGGAG